rnacentral:rRNA from 1 species
UACAGAGACUGCAAGCGUUAUUCGGAUUCACUGGGCGUAAAGGGUGCGCAGGUGGGUUGGCAAGUUUGAUGUGAAAGCCCCGGGCUUAACCCGGGAAUGGCAUUGAAUACUGCUGAUCUGGAGGAUUGGAGGGGGGACUGGAAUUCUUGGUGUAGCAGUGAAAUGCGUAGAUAUCAAGAGGAACACCAGUGGCGAAGGCGAGUCCCUGGACAAUACCUGACACUGAGGCACGAAAGCUAGGGGAGCAAACAGG